UUGGCUGUAUGGGGGAGGGGGAGGGGGAGGGAGAGAGAUAUUUUGCCUCAUAUGCUCGUUCGCUAAUUAGUUGCAUCAACACUGAGCAGGUGACAUCAUGCAAGUUGUGGCGUUAAGUAGGAGAGUCAUUCAAACCUCCAAAGACAUGCACAACCGUUUCAUGGACUUUCCGUAACUUCUAUGAGAAGAGAGAGCAUGAUUGAUAAAAAGACUUGCAAAAAUCAAAGAGGAGCAGGGACAGAUAGACGAGGCUGUUGGUUUGAUGUAAGAAGUUGUAAGUUUGCACCGUACUGAAUUUGGACCAGCGUACCGGAUUUGUCAAGGUCUAUUUUAUUUUUCAUAAAUACUCCUGAACACAAUAUUCCUCAUUUCAUAUUUUGACAACUCUUGUAACAUAUAAUUCCUGAAAGCACUCCUUGAUAGUAAUUAGUCAACAAUUUAGGCGGAAGCAGCUUUAU